GAGGAAUAUUGGGCAAUGCCCGCAAGGGUGGCCCAGCAACGCCGCGUGGAGGAUGAAUGUCGUAAGAUUGUAAACUCCUGUUAGAGGGGAAGAAUAGUACCGGUUGGACCGGUAUAUGACUGUACCCUCAGAGAAAGCCCCGGCUAACUACGUGCCAGCAGCCGCGGUAAUACGUAGGGGGCAAGCGUUGUCCGGAUUUACUGGGUGUAAAGGGCGCGCAGGCGGGAUAAAAAGUCAGUGGUGAAAUCCUACAGCUUAACUGUAGAACUGCCUUUGAUACUUUUAUUCUUGAGUUCGGGAGAGGGAGACGGAAUUCCAGGUGUAGUGGUGAAAUACGUAGAUAUCUGGAAGAACACCAGUUGCGAAGGCGGUCUCUUGGUCCGACACUGACGCUGAGGCGCGAAAGCGUGGGGAGCAAACA
rnacentral:rRNA from 1 species